ACAACUGCCGAGACAGGUGAUCCCGAUGGUCUUUAAUCAGCAGAGCCAGAAUGGCCAAAAUCAAACUGACUGAAACACAGGGUGUACCCAGGCUGUGUGUAGAGGAGAUGUGGAUGAGCUCACCUGGAGGGCAACACAGAGCGAGCCACAAAAAUCUCAAAUGUACACAUUCUUGCAUGCAGGAAUUCCCUUUUUCUAGAGGUUACCAACCUACAUUUACUGUUGGGGAAGUGGCUUGAAAACUGCGGCAUAUGUAUAAAACAGAGCAGGACAUGUGGCUGCGAAGAAGAAUGAAAAGAACAAUAUAUACA